AUGGACCUACCAUCGCCUCACCAAGUGCCUAGCGGACCCAUGACACGAGCACGUGCAAGAGCUCUCGAAACCGAGGUGACAUCACUCCUCUCAGAUUUCCACUUCGAUGCACAUGAGACAUGGCUACUACCUCAUAUGGACACAUUGUGCAUACUCAGGUAUCAUGGAGAAGCUAAGGAGCAAGGAGAAGAAGAAGAGGAAGAUGGACGUGAAGACGGAGACGAAGAAGAAGAUCUGCUCAAAGUCUCCAGGCUCCGGUCGACCGACGAACCCCGGACGUCCGACGACCUCCAGGCUCCGAACGUCCUGCCUCCUCCGGACGACCGACACUUCCAUACCUGA
rnacentral:rRNA from 1 species